rnacentral:piRNA from 1 species
UUCUAGAGUAGGUUCUCUCUUUCGAAGAA